rnacentral:lncRNA from 1 species
UGGCGGAAAAUCUGUCAGUAAACCCUUCAGUAAUGUAUCUUACAAUAUUGACGGAUUUUAUUCAUCGGUAAAUCCUUCAGUAAUUACCGAAGGAUACAUUCUGUCAGUAAAUCCAUUGGUAAAAAGAGCGGCAAAAUUCUCGCCUUUUUUUUUUCUCUCUCUCUGCAUGAAGAAGACUAUAUUUCUCUCUCUCACAAAUGAGUUUCAUCAUUUUUUCUUUCCUCUCAUCUCAAAAGCAUUUCUCACAUUCUCUAUAACCUUUUUUCUCUCUUGUGCAACCAUCUCCCACACUGCCACCACUGCCGUUAGAGAGCCUUACCCCUGCCGUUGGAGAGCGCCACCCCUACUAUUUGAGAGCAC